rnacentral:lncRNA from 1 species
UUUUUUAGCUCACCUGGCCGAAAGACCAAGUGAGCUUUUCUCAUCACUUGGCGUCCGUCGUCGGAACUUUUACAAAAAUCUUCUCCUCUGAAACUACUGGGCCAAAUUUAACCAAACUUGGCCACAAUCAUCAUUGGGGUAUCUAGUUUAAAAAAUGUGUCCGGUGACCCGCCCAACCAACCAAGAUGGCCGCCAUGGCUAAAAAUAGAACAUAGGGGUAAAAUGCAGUUUUUGGCUUAUAACUCAAAAACCAAAGCAUUUAGAGCAAAUCUGACUGGGGUAAAUUGUUCAUCAGGUCAAGAUCUAU